rnacentral:rRNA from 1 species
UACGUAGGGACCAAGCGUUGUUCGGAUUUACUGGGCGUAAAGGGCGCGUAGGCGGCUUGUCAAGUCACUUGUGAAAUCUCUGGGCUUAACCUAGAACGGCCAAGUGAAACUGACAUGCUAGAGUGCAGAAGGGGCAAUCGGAAUUCUUGGUGUAGCGGUGAAAUGCGUAGAUAUCAAGAGGAACACCUGAGGUGAAGACGGGUUGCUGGGCUGACACGUGACGCUGAGGCGCGAAAGCCAGGGGAGCAAACGGGG